rnacentral:lncRNA from 1 species
GCCAAUAGAAUAAUUAAAAUUUUCAUUGAUAUUAGGCAGAUAAGUACAAUGACAAAAAGAAUUUUUAAUUUCCUUCCUCAAUUAGCGGAGCUGUAGUGGCAGCAUCUUCUAGGUUUUCUUCUUCUUGACCAAUUCCUUUCGCGGGAACAGGGCUUGUUACCUUAGGUUUUGGAGGGGACAGAAGAGCUUACCUGGCUCUCUUCAUUCCCUCUGAAAUUCUUCCCACUCCACGCUCAAAGGGUCGAGAACAUCAAAUUUAAAAUUUGAAUUUGUGAGUCAGGCAAUUGUAAUUUAUGCAACUCGCAUUAAAAGGGUCCACAGCAACUUGGGUUGUAACAUCAGAUUCGACCUUAAAUUAGGCAGAUAGCUCUUCAAGUUGGCGCUGGUUUCUACCUUGUAGUUGUCCAGAGCCUCAUAGCUUUCCCUUCGGAGUUGCUCAAAUUAGAGAGGCGUUGCUCCUCUAAAGAUUUCUCGUUAGCCUCCAAUUGACAUAUUUUCUCCUCCACCUACUUCAUUUCUGCCUCCUAGGUUUUGCCUUUAGUCUUUUAAGCAGAGGUAGAUGCUGCCAGCUCCCUAUUUUGGCGGACUGUGUUUUCAUAAAUGUGGCAAAAUUGGCCCAAGUGUUCCCUCAAGUGAGCCCACGAAAUUCUCAAACACAACCUACCUGCCUUUGUUUUUGGUGCAAGCUUCAGACAUGGCCCAACUUAGGAGUUCGCACUUCGCCACCAUCAAUUG